AAAUUAGUCCGGUUCCCCAACUGUCAUCAGAUAUUAUUCUCAUGAUUCUCUGAUCGCCGGGAUCCUAAAUUUUCAGACGAGGGGCAAAGAAAACAGUCGGAAAAAGAUUAAAAGUCGUCACCAUAGUCGGAGUUAUUACCAGAGAAACUAGAAUCAGAGAAAUCGAGAAACUGAAGGAGAAGUGAAGUAUGAAGGGGCUUUCUCGCGGGUGCAUAUAUAUAUAUAGGGCCU
rnacentral:misc_RNA from 1 species